rnacentral:lncRNA from 1 species
UCCCCAAGCCCCCAUGUAACGUCCCCAAGUCCCCAUGUGAUGUCCCCAAGCACCCACAAAAUAUCCCAAAGAACCCCCCCAACAUCCCCAAGCCCCCCCCACAACGUCCCCAAGUCCCCCCCCAAACGUCCCCGCGCCCCCACCUGGCGAGCAGCAGGCGCAGGACGUCGUGGGGCUGGGUGAAGGCACGGAAGGUGGCGAGGAAGGUGGGGACGAAGGCUCCGUCCCCGCGGGCGGGGGCCUCCAGCAGGUGCCGCACCAGGCGGGGCAGGGGGGCGGCGCGCAGCAGGCGGGCGGGGGGCGCCCCGGGCCGGGGGGCCAGGGUGAAGACGGCGUCGUCCUCGCGCACCUCCGCCUGGGGGGGGUCCUCGUCGGGGGGGCAGGGCCGGUAGGAGCUGAGCACCACCCCCGGCUCCUGGCCCAGGGGGGGCCGGGCCCCCUCCAGCAGCGCCCGCAGCGCCCGCGGGAGCAUGGGGCGCCCCACGGCUCCGACCCACGGCUCCGACCCACGGCGUGGUCAGCCCCACGGCACGGGCAUGGCGGGGGGGGGGGGCCUGGGCGAGAGGGGGGGCCCUCAGCACCCACUGGCUGCCCCACAGCAUCCCAGUGGUGCUCCCAGUGCUGCCCCACAGCAUCCCAGUGGUGCUCCCAGUGCUGUCCCAUAGCAUCCCAGUGCUCCCAGUGCUGCCCCCCAGUGCUCCCAGUGCCUCCCUGCAGCUCCCUCUCGAGCCUCCACCCCCGGUCCCUGCGCCCAGUACCCCCAGUACCCCCAGUCCCGUACUCCCAGUCCCAGCCCCCCGUGCUCCCCCAGUCCCUGCUCCCAGUAACCCCGUCCCUCACCCCCAGUGCUCCCAGUACCUCCCAGUGCCUGCUUCCAGUCUCCCCAUUCCUCUUCCCAGCAACACCGCUUCCUGUUCCCAGCGCUCCCAGUCCCCGCUCCCAGUCCCCGUCCCCUCAGCCCCCUGCUCCCAGUGCUCCCAGUUCUCCCAGUCCAAGCU